GUGAACGCUGGCGGUAGGCCUAACACCUGCCAGUCACACGGCAGCACAGUAAGAGCUUGCUCUUACGGGUGGCGAGUGGCGGACGGGUGAGGAAUACAUCGGAAUCUACUUUUUCGUGGGGGAUAACGUAGGGAAACUUACGCUAAUACCGCAUACGACCUACGGGUGAAAGCAGGGGAUCUUCGGACCUUGCGCGAUUGCAUGAGCCGAUGUCGGAUUAGCUAGUUGGCGGGGUAAAGGCCCACCAAGGCGACGAUCCGUAGCUGGUCUGAGAGGAUGAUCAGCCACACUGGAACUGAGACACGGUCCAGACUCCUACGGGAGGCAGCAGUGGGGAAUAUUGGACAAAGGGCGCAAGCCUGAUCCAGCCAUACCGCGUGGGUGAAGAAGGCCUUCGGGUUGUAAAGCCCUUUUGUUGGGAAAGAAAAGCAGCAGGUUAAUACCCCGCUGUUCUGACGGUACCCAAAGAAUAAGCACCGGCUAACUUCGUG
rnacentral:rRNA from 1 species